rnacentral:lncRNA from 1 species
CAGUCGAUAGGUCUUUAGACAUUACAGAGAACCCCGAACAACCCAAACUGCUAAUCUUCAAUACCGCUUUAUACUCACAAUCUUGUAUCCACUGACUGUCUUGUUAGAUUAACCCAAUAAAUUUCAUUCACUCUGCAUACUCAAUCCUAUAGACACCCUUUUAAUUCUUCAUCACAGUCGUAACUCGAUUUCACAAAAUAGUUAAGAGUAAUCACACCCACUUCAUUAAAAUCCCGAUUCACCAAUACAACACUGACUUUAGCAACGAUUGCCUCAGUCUUCCUAAAACCCUAUGAAGAAAUAAAACCCCAAUUCUUUGUCUUUUUUCCCCGCCCCGAAGCAUGAAGCUAGCUCUUCGACCCUUCUCAAAACUUUUUCUCUCCCCCCAAAACCUU